CAAGGAAUUUUCCACAAUGGGCGCAAGCCUGAUGGAGCAACGCCGCGUGGGGGAUGACGCGUUUCGGCGUGUAAACCCCUUUUCGAGGGGACGAAGGCAAUGACGGUACCCUCGGAAUCAGGACCGGCUAACUACGUGCCAGCAGCCGCGGUAAGACGUAGGGUCCGAGCGUUGUCCGGAAUUACUGGGCGUAAAGCGCGCGCAGGCGGAUUGUCGCAUCAUCGGUGAAAGCCCCCCGCUCAACGGGGGAGGGUCCGGUGCGAUGGGCAGUCUGGAGGCAGGGAGAGGCGAGUGGAAUUCCGGGUGUAGUGGUGAAAUGCGUAGAGAUCCGGAGGAACACCAGUGGCGAAGGCGGCUCGCUGGACCUGACCUGACGCUGAGGCGCGAAGGCGUGGGGAGCGAACGGG
rnacentral:rRNA from 1 species